AUUGAACGCUGGCGGCAGGCCUAACACAUGCAAGUCGAGCGGGGUUUUCGGACCUAGCGGCGGACGGGUGAGUAAUGCGUAGGAAGCUACCCGAUAGAGGGGGAUACCAGUUGGAAACGACUGUUAAUACCGCAUAAUGUCUACGGACCAAAGUGUGGGACUUUCGGGCCACAUGCUAUCGGAUGCGCCUACGUGGGAUUAGCUAGUUGGUGGGGUAAUGGCUCACCAAGGCGACGAUCCCUAGCUGGUUUGAGAGGAUGAUCAGCCACACUAGAACUGAGACACGGUCCAGACUCCUACGGGAGGCAGCAGUGGGGAAUAUUGGACAAUGGGCGCAAGCCUGAUCCAGCCAUGCCGCGUGUGUGAAGAAGGCCUUCGGGUUGUAAAGCACUUUCAGUAGGGAGGAAGGGUGUUGUGUUAAUAGCACAGCAUUUUGACGUUACCUACAGAAGAAGCACCGGCUAACUCUGUGCCAGCCGCCGCGGUAAGAC
rnacentral:rRNA from 1 species